rnacentral:rRNA from 1 species
UACGUAGGGUGCAAGCGUUGUCCGGAAUUAUUGGGCGUAAAGAGCUCGUAGGCGGUCUGUUGCGUCGGCUGUGAAAACCCGGGGCUCAACCCCGGGCCUGCAGCCGAUACGGGCAGACUAGAGUUCGGCAGGGGAGACUGGAAUUCCUGGCGUAGCGGUGAAAUGCGCAGAUAUCAGGAGGAACACCGGUGGCGAAGGCGGGUCUCUGGGCCGAUACUGACGCUGAGGAGCGAAAGCGUGGGGAGCAAACAGG